ACCGGCAGCUCAAGUGGUGGCCAUUAUUAUUGGGCCUAAAGCGUUCGUAGCCGGUUUGACAAGUCUCUGGUGAAAUCCCGCAGCUUAACUGUGGGACUUGCUGGAGAUACUAUCAGACUUGAGGUCGGGAGAGGUUAGGGGUACUCCCAGGGUAGGGGUGAAAUCCUUUAAUCCUGGGAGGAACACCUGUGGCGAAGACGCGUAACUGGAACGAACCUGACGGGGAGUAUCGAAAGCCAGGGGCGCGAACGG
rnacentral:rRNA from 1 species